GUAGGUGGCAAGCGUUGUCCGGAAUUAUUGGGGCGUAAAGCGCGCGCAGGCGGUUCGUUUAAGUCUGAUGUGAAAGCCCACGGGCUCAACCGUGGAGGGUCAUUGGAAACUGGAGAACUUGAGUACAGAAGAGGAAAGCGGAAUUCCACGUGUAGCGGUGAAAUGCGUAGAGAUGUGGAGGAACACCAGUGGCGAAGGCGGCUUUCUGGUCUGUAACUGACGCUGAGGCGCGAAAGCGUGGGGAGCAAACAGGAUUAGAUACCCUGGUAGUCCACGCCGUAAACGAUGAGUGCUAAGUGUUAGGGGGUUUCCGCCCCUUAGUGCUGCAGCUAGCGCAUUAAGCACUCCGCCUGGGGAGUACGGCCGCAAAGGCUG
rnacentral:rRNA from 1 species